UGUAUAUGUAUGUAUGUGUAUGUAUGUAUGUAUGUAUAUAUACAGUGUAUAUAUAUACCUGUUCAUAUGCUGUUGUUGGAGCGUGAAGCUCGACACAGGUCCUAGAAGAUGUGCUGCUCGGCUUGCACCUCGUCCUCUCCAUCCUGCCUCUUCUUCCUCGGACCCUGGCAGCCCUCCCUCCUCUGCUUCGCCUCGACCCCGGUCCUGUCCCGGUCUGUGCUUGGCUCUGGGGUGCAGUCCUCAUCAGAGACAAUAAUGCUGUCACCAUGGAAGCUCUAACAUGCAAAACAACGUACAUGUUAUGAGUCUAACAUGAAAUUCACGUUCCUGUAGUGUAACGUGUAACUGAUGGUAACGAGAAAAUGUGUAUCAGCCUGUUGUUAGCUUUGCCCAAUGUUAACACAGCUGUUAGCACAGCUAUCUGUUGCUAACAGUUACCUAGGCAGCUCGUUACUGAUUAAAACUCGGUCUUUUUAAACCUAUCCAAUAAUAACAUGCUAGCUUGAUGGUGAGUACUAACAGCCGGGUUAGUUUUUUAUUUUCAUAAUAAUAAAGUUAGAUAUUUUCUUACCCCUGAUGUGAGCCGCUACUCUCCGCUCGUCACACUCGUCCUCCUGCGGUGUCGGCAACGCACUUUUACGUGUUUUGGGGGCAUGGUUUUGGAAGGAGCUCAGAAGGGUGGGAGUUUCUCUGUUGAAUACUUUCAAAAUUCAGCAGUUUCUGGCUAGUUUCUCAAACUUACCUACCCUGCCUUUAAUUGCAGUUUUUAAAUUAACAUUAAAUCAAAUACGCAUGUUAUGUGAAAGUCAAAAAAACCUACACAUAACGCCCUUUGGAGUCCUUUUUUUGUUUUGUUCUUUUGUUUCCUUGUUUCCUUAUUUAAUUUUCUUUUUUGUCGUUUGUUCAUUAAUUUAAAAAAAAAAAUUCUGUAUCCUUGUCUCCCUGUUUCUGUGUUUCAGUCUUUGGUGUCCUACUUUUGUUUCUACAUUUCCCUGUUUCCUUCUCUUAUUUUCUUAAGUUAAUUUUCUUUUGUUUCCUUUAUUUCUUAUUUUGUUUUCGUGUUUCCUUGUUCCCUGGUUUAUCUAAGGUGUGCUGUGGUGGUCAUAGUAUUUAGAUCCCUCUGCCAUACUAAAUUGACAUUUUACUGAAGUAAAGCGUCUUUAGGGAAGUCUUGUGUCUUGUCUAUGUUCCAUCCGCCUUUAAACACACUGUUGUGCAGCGCCUGUUAAAAAAGGAAAAUCCCAACCCCUCUGUUCUUUCUAACUUCAGGCCCAUCUCUAAACUGUCUUCCUUAUCUAAAGUCCUGAAGAAAGUAAUUUUUACCUAGCUGCAAACAUUUUUAAUUAACCAUAAUGUUUAUGAAAAGUUUCAGUCUGGUUUUAAACCCCGUCACAGCACUGAAACUGCACUUUUAAGAGUUUUUAAUGACUUUAUUUUAACUGUUGAUUCAGGAGUCUCUGCUGUCUUAGUGCUCUUAAGGUGUGUUCACACUGAAAGCGAAUUUAAUAUUCGCCUCACUUUACUCACGCGAGUUUGACAUCUGGACAUUUUGAGUGUUCACACACAACGCGUUUCAAGCAAAUAAAUACAGCCCGCAGAUACUACUGCUAUUUGAACCCAAAGUAAACCUUGUGCUGUGAUUUUAUUGCAAACUGGUCAAACUGAUGCCAAAAUAACUACAAUAUGAUGCCGUUUUGUUAGUCAUAUGAAUUCAUGCUUUGCCAGGUCUUUUAAAAUGUUUUUUUUCUGAAUGACACACAUUUUCUGAAAUCACCAGGUAGUUCAACUUCCUCGCUUUCUUUUUCCAAGUAAUGUCCAGCUUUGUCCGUUUUUUAUAUAAAUAUGAAGUAGAAUCCAGCAGAACUCCAGUGCCAUCCAACACUAACAACAACAGUGGAACCGGAUGUGCAUGGAAGCUAGCUGCCGAGAAGUGUGAGUGAAGAUAAAUCAAAAGCUAAUUUAAUAAAAGCAGUUAACUCUGAGCUCCUCCCGUGGGUAAACGAUGUAGUUGUCAGAUCAGAAUCCAGACCAACUACGGGUGUUUAUUUCUCCGAAAGCUGCAGCACUGCUCCCCAUACACUUACCCAUUCUUUAGCAGCUCCCUGUCGGCCUGCGGAUUGUCAUUACACCGCUCGGCAGGUCUUCUCCAAACAACGCUCCGAAGCCGCUGGUGACGUUUGGAAUAUCUCAUCGCUGAUAGGCUUUCGCAACAUGGCCCAAGUUGAAAAAUUUCGAGACAAACGCCUCAUUCGCGCUGCCCGGAGCGAAUUCGCGUCUUUGCAUUGACUUUGAUUGUAAUCAAGCCGCCCAAAACACUGGAUUCGCUUUCGGUGUGAACACCGGUUUCAAUACCUAACAGAUGGGAGUUUCUCUGUCCACCUCGGUGAUUAUUCCUCUGAGACAGCCCAAUUUACCUGUGGUGUCCCUCAAGGUUCUGUCUGAGGCCAUAUCUUAUUUUCUUUAUAUAUGCUGCACCUGGCCUCCAUUUUUAGUACGAGGUCGCUUUCCACUGUUUUGCAGACGAUAUACAAAUUUAUUUGCCCCUGAAUGUAAAAACAAAGGGCUCACUGCAGCCCUGCUUGACUGCAUCAAAUCAUGGAUGCCCUGAACUUCCUCAACCUAAACAGAGACAAGACAGAGGUCAUAGUGUUUGGACAUCCUGAACUGCUUUGUGUAGGUUCUCUCGGACCUUUAACUUCAAAUAAUCGCUCAACCGUGAGGAGUCUUGGUGUUGUAUUGGACAGUGCAUUAAAAUUUCAUAAACAGAUAUCCACCACUGUUAGAUCUUGCUUCUUCCAGUUUAGAACUAUAGCCAAGGUAAAGGCCUAUCUCCCUCCUAAAUAUUUAGAGAGGGUGAUUAAUGCCUUCAUAACUUCCGGUCUUGACUAUUGUAACUCCUUAUAUGUGGGCUUGGACAAGUCAUCGCCUGCAGUUAGUCCAAAAUGCUGCUUACUGCCACCUGACAGGAAAGAAAAAGAGAGACCACAUCACACCUGUGUUGGGCUCCCUCCACUGGCUUCCUGCUCAGUACAGGAUUGAUUUUAAAAUCUUUUAACUUUUAAAUGUCUUAAUGGAUUGGCUCCACUUUACCUAAAGGAGCUUCUUUGUGUUCACACUGAGAUCUGCCAAUCUCCUCCUGCUGGAUGUACCCAGAAGCACACUUAAAACUAGAGACGAUCGAGCCUUUGGUGUAGCUGCCCCUACACCAACCCUAACCCCUAACCUGUGGAACAACCUGUCAGUCCAUAUCACAACCGCCCCAACUCGAACGUUGUAUAUCACUGUUAAAAACACAUCUCAUUUCUUUGACAUUUCCUUUGAGUUAAGUCAGUUAUUAUCCCUGGUGAUUUUAAUAUCACUAUAUAUCAUAUACUGUAUGUUCUAAUGUUUUAUUGCUGUACUUUUACUGUGUAAUUAUUGUUUUUUUAAAUGUAAUUUAAAUUUUUAAAUGUAAAGCACCUUGGUCCUGGUUGUUUUAACUGUGCUAUAUCAAUAAAAUUGAUAGAGCUAAAGAGCACUCUUGGGCCACAACAGGUCAGAGAUUAUUGUCGAAAACAGCAGAAAGGCCUCACACACCUCACCAAAGGGAACGCAGAAAUCACUCCUGGAGGAUCUGCAUGAUCAUUUUAGCAUUUAGCCAGACCCAGUAUGCACCUUGGUUGGUCACAUGUCAUCAGUGUUGGGCAAGCUACUUGGAAAAUGUAGUGAGCUAAGCUACUACCUACUCUAGAUUAAAUUAAGCUUCACUACACAGAAGCUACCCCCCCGGUGAAAUGUAGCAAGCUAAGUUACAAAAACGUGGCAAAAGUAGCUUAGUUACAUCUAAGCUACAUUUACUAAGCUACUCUACAUUUGUAGGUGGGGUUUGAGCCCAAUGACAAUAUGGCAGUGACAAUUUUAUUUAUUAAUAAGUAGUUUCAUUGAAAAACUACAUACAAGGGAAAAUGGCUGUGGUUAAUGCUGGGUCUGUGUCUAAUAAUUUUAUAACUUUUUUAUCUCCUGUGAUUUGGAUUUUUCAUUUUUAACAGAGACAUGGGCUGGUAAUGGUGAGUCAACCAUUUUUGGUGAAUUGUGUCCAGCAAACUGUUUAUUCAUUAGCACCCCUCGUUGUGUUGGCAGAGAGGACAGAGUGGCUACAGUUUUCAAGAAUUGGUUUAAAUUACAAUCAUUUUCAUUUGGGAGCUAGUCUACAUUUGAAUCACACACUGGAAAAAUAGAUUCUGUGACUAACCUUUAUUUGGAGUUUUGCUCUAUAGACUGAUUCAUUGUGACAUUGUACCAACAACAGCAGUCCUGGGUAGACAACUGGCAGAUGAUUUGAAUUGAGAAGUUUUGUCAAAUUUGUUUAUUUCUGUUAAAAACAUAACUGUAAUGUUUAAAAAUAUAUCGUAAAACACAGUGGUCCGA